UACGUAGGGUCCGAGCGUUGUCCGGAAUUAUUGGGCGUAAAGAGCUCGUAGGCGGUCUGUCGCGUCUGCUGUGAAAACUCAGGGCUUAACCCUGAGCUUGCAGUGGGUACGGGCAGACUAGAGUGCGGUAGGGGAGACUGGAAUUCCGUGGUGUAGCGGUGAAAUGCGCAGAUAUCAGGAGGAACACCGGUGGCGAAGGCGGGUCUCUGGGCCGAUACUGACGCUGGAGGAGCGAAAGCGUGGGGAGCGAACAGG
rnacentral:rRNA from 1 species